UACGGAGGGUGCAAGCGUUAUCCGGAUUCACUGGGUUUAAAGGGUGCGUAGGUGGGCAGGUAAGUCAGUGGUGAAAUCUCCGGGCUUAACCCGGAAACUGCCAUUGAUACUAUCAGUCUUGAAUACCGUGGAGGUAAGCGGAAUAUGUCAUGUAGCGGUGAAAUGCUUAGAUAUGACAUAGAACACCAAUUGCGAAGGCAGCUUACUACACAGUCAUUGACACUGAGGCACGAAAGCGUGGGGAUCAAACAGG
rnacentral:rRNA from 1 species